CGGGACGGGUGAGUAAUGUCUGGGAAACUGCCUGAUGGAGGGGGAUAACUACUGGAAACGGUAGCUAAUACCGCAUAACGUCGCAAGACCAAAGAGGGGGACCUUCGGGCCUCUUGCCAUCGGAUGUGCCCAGAUGGGAUUAGCUAGUAGGUGGGGUAACGGCUCACCUAGGCACGAUCCCUAGCUGGUCUGAGAGGAUGACCAGCCACACUGGAACUGAGACACGGUCCAG
rnacentral:rRNA from 1 species